rnacentral:lncRNA from 1 species
CACAAACAUCCUGUGAUCUUUAGCAACAGUCAGCUAUGAGCUUUGGAUUUCUGCAACUGCUUACGUUGAUGUGUCAUGGCACACAAACUCAAGGCUGUCUUCCCAAUGAGAAGGACAAGAAACAUCUUCUUUGUCCUUGCUGCUAUCUUCAUUUGUUUGUUCAUUUUUAAGAUAAAAGCUUAGGCUUUCUUUUGUAUUUCUAGGUCCCCAGAAAUGGUGAGGAGGAUCUGGGAAAGGAGAGGGGAGGAAGAGAAGAGGAGUCAGGCUGCAGGGGGGAUGCAAAGACUCUGAUUGCUGAUGAUGGGACUGUAUGGAAAAGAUUUCUUUCAAGCUUACUUGAUGCAAACUGCCUGGGAGAUACUGGCUUUACCAAGGAUUUCUAGGAGGCCUGAGUAUCCCCUCAUGUUGGGAAACAAGCUUCUGGCUUCAGCAUAGGCAGCAGCAGUCAUUGAGCACGUACAGCUAUCCUUCUGAUGAGCCUCCGUCUUCCAUUCCAGAUCAGAACCAAAGCUUGACCUGUGCACCUCAGUCCCUGGAGGGCUCUCUCCACUUGCACACAGGUACCUCACCACAUCCCUCCACCAGCACAGCA